GUUGGAUAGUUUUGUUUAAUCUUGAUUAUUGUUACACUUACACAAUUAACUAAUUAAAAUUGUCACAUGGUGUCUACUUAUGUGAUAUGAAUAACAAUGUAUGUUAUUAUUCACAGUUCUGUAGUUUAUUUUCGCCAUCUGUAUUUUUAUUAAAUGAUUGUCUAAAAUGUUAACUUGGCAUGCCAUACUUGGUAGAAAUGCGGACGUGAAAGAAAGCACUUUUCACAAAAGUGUCAACGGAGAUUAAAACAUUCCAGGGCGACGAUUUUGUCAAUUAUGAAACAAAAUACGUAUAUGCACUUUUUGAGUAUGAACCAGUUAUUAUAUUCAUUCACAAUUACGUUCCCAGUAUUUCUCUGAAGUUUAUCACAGUUCCGUCUAAUUUUGGGUCAAAUUUCGACGGUCUGCUAAAAUGUCACUUUAAAUUCAAGAAUAAUGAGUAAAGGAAUAUCCUGUUUUCCUGUCUCAAAUAUGUUUAUUUUUCGUCCUAAAGAAACUAGCCAUUAUUAUAGCGUAGCAAGAAUACAUUUCCGUCGUCGGAUCUAG
rnacentral:lncRNA from 1 species